rnacentral:tRNA from 2 species
GGGCGAGUUCCCGAGUGGCCAAAGGGGGCAGACUGUAAAUCUGUUGCAUCAUUGCUUCGGUGGUCCGAAUCCACCCUCGCCCACCA